AUGUAAAUGUGUAAUAGAAGCCAAAUAUGGAGCAGUUGGCUGCCGCCGCCGCAGCUCAAGGAUCCGACCAGGAAGGGGGGUAGAGGGGGGACACCCUCCCGCGGGCGGCAGGGCAAGCGGCUUGGAGCCCUGCGAGCGCACGGCGGGCGGCCAGCCCUCGCCCUUAACCCUUCAAUGCUCGUGGCCCGCUCUUGGCGGCCUUCGGGUAUACCCGCACGUUUCUCCCAAGACUGGCUCGGGAUCAGGGGGCGGGGAGCGGGAGGGAAGACACCGGCCAGAGGGAGGCAGUUCUGCAAGGUUUGGAUAGGGGCAGAGAGCUGAGGCGAUGAGGUCUGGAAAUCUGCUGUGAGUAUUGAACUACCCAGCUCUAGCCUUGGUAGACGACCCGCGCACUCCUCUCGCAGCUAAUUCGGGAUCAUUAAUUUAAUCGGAAAUGAGGUAACCAGUGUAGGAGAUAAAGCAAACCGAGCAUUAAAUGGCAGUUCUUGUGAAUCCGCGCUGAAGAACUUCCUCUGGACUCAAUUUUUUAGUAGCUGGACGGGAAGGGACCUUUUUUCGAGGGAUGCUCCUUGCCAACAGGUGUGGCACCUGGAGGAAGAGAAGUCAAACCCAUGCUAAAGGGAGCUCAGUGCGGCGUUCCCCUUGCUGCAGAUAAUUCUGGAAGACCAGUAGGUGUCGGGGCAGCAUUUCACCUCCUUCAGGUGCUUAGAACCCGGUGUCAAGAAACAUGAUCUCUCCAAGUAAGUUUCUCUCUGGAAGCCACUACUUUUGACUGUAGGCUGUAUUUGAGAAACCUUUUGGCUGAGUUUACUUAUGACCUAACGGUUAGUCACCAACUGAAGCAGGAUACAGAAUCAUCAAGAGAAAUGUGUCAGCUUUUCAACACUAAAUUGUAGAGACGUGCUACAGAAAUAAAAAAAAAUAAGUAUACUAACUAGGAA